rfam:Ipomoea nil DNA, scaffold: scaffold3147, cultivar: Tokyo-kokei standard.
AUCGCAAUGAGAGAUAAUUAUGGAAGUUUAUCUUCUCAUUGUAUUGUAUAAUAAGGGAGGCGAAAAUGAUGAUGGCGAGAUAUCGUUUCGGUCGUCACUUCUCUCCAUUGACGAUUCGAUUGUUGCUCGUCCACAU